rnacentral:rRNA from 1 species
CCUACGGGAGGCAGCAGUGGGGAAUAUUGGACAAUGGGGGGAACCCUGAUCCAGCGACGCCGCGUGAGUGAAGAAGUAUUUCGGUAUGUAAAGCUCUAUCAGCAGGGAAGAAAGAAAUGACGGUACCUGACUAAGAAGCCCCGGCUAACUACGUGCCAGCAGCCGCGGUAAUACGUAGGGGGCAAGCGUUAUCCGGAUUUACUGGGUGUAAAGGGGGCGUAGACGGCGAUGCAAGUCUGAAGUGAAAGGCGGGGGCCCAACCCCUGGACUGCUUUGGAAACUGUAUGGCUGGAGUGCAGGAGAGGUAAGUGGAAUUCCUAGGGUAGCGGUGAAAUGCGUAGAUAUUAGGAGGAACACCAGUGGCGAAGGCGGCUUACUGGACUGUAACUGACGUUGAGGCUCGAAAGCGUGGGGAGCAAACAGGAUUAGAUACCCGGGUAGUC